rnacentral:rRNA from 1 species
GAUGAACGCUGGCGGCGUGCCUAAUACAUGCAAGUCGAGCGAAUGGAUUAAGAGCUUGCUCUUAUGAAGUUAGCGGCGGACGGGUGAGUAACACGUGGGUAACCUGCCCAUAAGACUGGGAUAACUCCGGGAAACCGGGGCUAAUACCGGAUAACAUUUUGAACCGCAUGGUUCGAAAUUGAAAGGCGGCUUCGGCUGUCACUUAUGGAUGGACCCGCGUCGCAUUAGCUAGUUGGUGAGGUAACGGCUCACCAAGGCAACGAUGCGUAGCCGUACUGAGAGAGGGAUCGGCCACACUGGGACUGAGACACGGCCCAGCCUCCUACGGGAGGCAGCAGUAGGGAAUCUUCCGCAAUGGACGAAAGUCUGACGGAGCAACGCUGCGUGAGUGAUGAAGGCUUUCGGGUCGUAAAACUCUGUUGUUAGGGAAGAACAAGUGCUAGUUGAAUAAGCUGGCACCUUGACGGUACCUAACCAGAAAGCCACGGCUAACUACGUGCCAGCCGCCGCAGUAA